rnacentral:tRNA from 2 species
UCCUCAGUAGCUCAGUGGUAGAGCGGUCGGCUGUUAACUGACUGGUCGUAGUUCGAAUCCUACUUGGGGAG